CGCCCCCUUCGGGGGGAGUGGCAGACGGGUGAGUAACGCGUGGGAACCUACCCAAUGGUACGGAAUAACGCAGGGAAACUUGUGCUAAUACCGUAUAAGCCCUUCGGGGGAAAGAUUUAUCGCCAUUGGACGGGCCCGCGUUGGAUUAGCUAGUUGGUGAGGUAAAGGCUCACCAAGGCGACGAUCCAUAGCUGGUCUGAGAGGAUGAUCAGCCACACUGGGACUGAGACACGGCCCAGACUCCUACGGGAGGCAGCAGUGGGGAAUAUUGGACAAUGGGCGAAAGCCUGAUCCAGCCAUGCCGCGUGGGUGAAGAAGGCCUUAGGGUUGUAAAUCCCUUUCAGCGGGGAAGAUAAUGACGGUACCCGCAGAAGAAGCCCCGGCUAACUCCGUGCCAGCAGCCGCGGUAAUACGGAGGGGGCUAGCGUUGUUCGGAAUUACUGGGCGUAAAGCGCACGUAGGCGGGCUGUUUAGUCAGUGGUGAAAUCCCGAGGCUCAACCUCGGAAUUGCCUUUGAUACUGGCAGCCUUGAGUUCGAGAGAGGUGAGUGGAAUUCCGAGUGUAGAGGUGAAAUUCGUAGAUAUUCGGAGGAACACCAGUGGC
rnacentral:rRNA from 1 species